rnacentral:lncRNA from 1 species
CGUCAGCAUAACUUCGGUCUCAGGGGUGGUGACUUCUUGAGCGGAGACUAACCCAGGGAAGAUACUCAGCUGGAAGGAUCAAGUACACCACAAGAAGACCUACCUAGUCCGUGGGGGCUCACGGAGAUGGAACCAUCAACCAAGGAGCAUGCAGGGACUGGACCUAUGCCCCUUACACAUUUGCGGUAGAUGUGCAGCUUGGUCCUCAUGUGGUCCCCUAACAAUUAGAGCAAUGACUGUUUCUGACUCUCUUCCCUGCCACUGGAUCCCCUUCUCCUACCUGGACUGCCUGGCUAGGCCUCAGCUAGAGAGGAUGUGUCUAGUCCUUCUAGGACUGAACGUUCCAGAGUGGGGUGGUACCUCAGAGAAGGGGAGGGGUAACGACAGAGGGAUUUGUAAGGGAGAGACUGGGAGGAGAGGAGGGAGGGGAGGCUGCAGUCAGGAUGCAAAGUGAAUACAAAUAAAUAAAUUAUUAAGAAAAGC